rnacentral:rRNA from 1 species
GCUAAAUCCGUGCCAGAGACGGGGGUAAAGCGGGGGGUGCAAGCGUGAUACGGAAGUACUGGGCGUAAAGCGCACGUAGGCGGACCAGAGAGUUGGGGGUGAAAUCCCGGGGCGCAACCCCGGAACUGCCUUCAAAACUCCUGGUCUUGAGGUCGAGAGAGGGGAGUGGAAUUCCGAGUGUAGAGGUGAAAUUCGUAGAUAUUCGGAGGAACACCAGUGGCGAAGGCGGCUCACUGGCUCGAUACUGACGCUGAGGUGCGAAAGCGUGGGGAACAAACAGGAUUAGAUUCCCCAGUAGUC